GACUCCAUGAAGCUGGAUUCGCUAGUAAUCGCGCAUCAGCCACGGCGCGGUGAAUACGUUCCCGGGCCUUGUACACACCGCCCGUCAAGCCAUGGAAGCCGGGAGUGCCUGAAGUGCGUGACCGCAAGGAGCGUCCUAAGGCAAUACCGGUGACUGGGGCUAAGUCGUAACAAGGUAUC
rnacentral:rRNA from 1 species